AUUGAACGCUGGCGGCAGGCCUAACACAUGCAAGUCGAACGGUAGCACAGAGAGCUUGCUCUCGGGUGACGAGUGGCGGACGGGUGAGUAAUGUCUGGGAAACUGCCCGAUGGAGGGGGAUAACUACUGGAAACGGUAGCUAAUACCGCAUAAUGUCGCAAGACCAAAGAGGGGGACCUUCGGGCCUCUUGCCAUCGGAUGUGCCCAGAUGGGAUUAGCUUGUAGGUGAGGUAACGGCUCACCUAGGCGACGAUCCCUAGCUGGUCUGAGAGGAUGACCAGCCACACUGGAACUGAGACACGGUCCAGACUCCUACGGGAGGCAGCAGUGGGGAAUAUUGCACAAUGGGCGCAAGCCUGAUGCAGCCAUGCCGCGUGUAUGAAGAAGGCCUUCGGGUUGUAAAGUACUUUCAGCGGGGAGGAAGGGAGUGAGGUUAAUAACCUUAUUCAUUGACGUUACCCGCAGAAGAAGCACCGGCUAACUCCGUGCCAGCAGCCGCGGUAAUACGGAGGGUGCAAGCGUUAAUCGGAAUUACUGGGCGUAAAGCGCACGCAGGCGGUCUGUCAAGUCGGAUGUGAAAUCCCCGGGCUCAACCUGGGAACUGCAUUCGAAACUGGCAGGCUGGAGUCUUGUAGAGGGGGGUAGAAUUCCAGGUGUAGCGGUGAAAUGCGUAGAGAUCUGGAGGAAUACCGGUGGCGAAGGCGGCCCCCUGGACAAAGACUGACGCUCAGGUGCGAAAGCGUGGGGAGCAAACAGGAUUAGAUACCCUGGUAGUCCACGCUGUAAACGAUGUCGACUUGGAGGUUGUUCCCUUGAGGAGUGGCUUCCGGAGCUAACGCGUUAAGUCGACCGCCUGGGGAGUACGGCCGCAAGGUUAAAACUCAAAUGAAUUGACGGGGGCCCGCACAAGCGGUGGAGCAUGUGGUUUAAUUCGAUGCAACGCGAAGAACCUUACCUACUCUUGACAUCCAGAGAACUUAGCAGAGAUGCUUUGGUGCCUUCGGGAACUCUGAGACAGGUGCUGCAUGGCUGUCGUCAGCUCGUGUUGUGAAAUGUUGGGUUAAGUCCCGCAACGAGCGCAACCCUUAUCCUUUGUUGCCAGCGGUCCGGCCGGGAACUCAAAGGAGACUGCCAGUGAUAAACUGGAGGAAGGUGGGGGUGACGUCAAGUCAUCAUGGCCCUUACGAGUAGGGCUACACACGUGCUACAAUGGCAUAUACAAAGAGAAGCGACCUCGCGAGAGCAAGCGGACCUCAUAAAGUAUGUCGUAGUCCGGAUUGGAGUCUGCAACUCGACUCCAUGAAGUCGGAAUCGCUAGUAAUCGUGGAUCAGAAUGCCACGGUGAAUACGUUCCCGGGCCU
rnacentral:rRNA from 1 species